rnacentral:rRNA from 1 species
AUAAUUGUCAGCUAAGUGGCGCACGGGUGAGUAAUGUAUAGAUAACCUGCCCUUAAGAAAGGAAUAACAGUUGGAAACGACUGCUAAUGCCCUAUAUGCCUUUAAUACAUAAGUAUGCAAGGGAAACGCUUUAGUGCUUAAGGAUGGGUCUGUAUGGUAUCAGCUUGUUGGUGAGGUAAUGGCUCACCAAGGCUAUGACGCCUAACUGGUUUGAGAGGAUGAUCAGUCACACUGGAACUGAGACACGGUCCAGACUCCUACGGGAGGCAGCAGUGGGGAAUAUUGCACAAUGGACGAAAGUCUGAUGCAGCAACGCCGCGUGGAGGAUGACACAUUUCGGUGCGUAAACUCCUUUUAUAUAGGAAGAUAAUGACGGUACUAUAUGAAUAAGCACCGGCUAACUCCGUGCCAGCAGCCGCGGUAAUACGGAGGGUGCAAGCGUUACUCGGAAUCACUGGGCGUAAAGAGCGUGUAGGCGGGUAUAUAAGUCAGAAGUGAAAUCCAAUAGCUCAACUAUUGAACUGCUUUUGAAACUGUAUACCUAGAAUGUGGGAGAGGUAGAUGGAAUUUCUGGUGUAGGGGUAAAAUCCGUAGAGAUCAGAAGGAAUACCGAUUGCGAAGGCGAUCUACUGGAACAUUAUUGACGCUGAGACGCGAAAGCGUGGGGAGCAAACAGGAUUAGAUACCCUGGUAGUCCACGCCCUAAACGAUGUACACUAGUUGCUGUGAGGCUCGACCUUGCAGUAAUGCAGUUAACACAUUAAGUGUACCGCCUGGGGAGUACGGUCGCAAGAUUAAAA